UACGUAGGGUGCGAGCGUUGUCCGGAAUUAUUGGGCGUAAAGAGCUCGUAGGCGGUCUGUUGCGUCGGCUGUGAAAACCCGGGGCUCAACCCCGGGCCUGCAGCCGAUACGGGCAGACUAGAGUUCGGCAGGGGAGACUGGAAUUCCUGGUGUAGCGGUGAAAUGCGCAGAUAUCAGGAGGAACACCGGCGGCGAAGGCAGGUCUCUGGGCUGACACUGACGCUCAUGCACGAAAGCGUGGGGAGCAAACAGG
rnacentral:rRNA from 1 species